rnacentral:pre_miRNA from 1 species
UUUCCUGUCUAUUUCCCAUCAUCAUCCUCAGUGAUGGGAAAUAGACAGGAAACA